AAAAGGUUGGACUGGCCUGAAUGAUCUUGAGAGGGAGGGUUAUUUCUACUGGACAUAUACAGGAGAAUACUUUAUUUAUAAUAUAGGAUCUAUAUCAGAACACGACUGCAUUUAUUUGCACCAGACAGGUUUGUUUGAACAGGAUUGCAGUUCCUCUUUCCCAUACAUCUGUGAAAUUGAUUGGUGUCUCCAUUGAUUAGCCCAGGCAGAUGUUACUUGGAGGACUUAAACUAGAAAACACGACUUGGAAGAGUUUGAAUGGACUGAAACAUUUCUGUUACAAUUAAUCAAUUGAAUGGAACCUCUUCAUUAUGUUAUGCCAGUGGAUCAAGACCUUUUCAUUACAUACUGUCAGUGGAUUGAAAACUUUUCUUUAUAUUAUGUCAAAUGGAUUGAAACUUUUUGUUAUGUCAAUGGAUUGAAACCUCUUCCUUAUAUUAUGUCAUUUUGUCACUGCAUUGAGAUAUGUUCCUUAAAAAUUACAGUAUGUUGUACAUUUUUUUUUUAUUUAAGCUAAUUGCUUGUUCCUGAUUCUCAAAGCAUUUCAGAAUGAAAUUGUUUGUCAUUUAUAUUGAAUUGAAAAGAUUCUUUUACAGAGAAAUAAAAAGCAAGAGAAGAAUAUUUAAGUCA